GACGAACGCUGGCGGCGUGCUUAACACAUGCAAGUCGAACGGACAGGUCAUGCUCUUGCGCGGUGCUCGAGAGGCGAACGGGUGAGUAACACGUGAGUAACAUGUCCCUGUCUGUGGGAUAACUCCUGGAGACAGGGGCUCAUACCGGAUAGGAGCUCUUGAUGCGUGGUGGGGGUUGGUAAGUUUCGGCGGUUGGGGAUGGACUCGCGGCUUAUCAGCCUGUUGGUGGGGUAGUGGCUUACCAAGGCUAUGACGGGUAGCCGGCCUGAGAGGGUGACCGGCCACAUUGGGACUGAGAUACGGCCCAGACUCCUACGGGAGGCAGCAGUGGGGAAUAUUGCACAAUGGGCGGAAGCCUGAUGCAGCAACGCCGCGUGCGGGAUGACGGCCUUCGGGUUGUAAACCGCUUUCGCCUGUGACGAAGCGUGAGUGACGGUAAUGGGUAAAGAAGCACCGGCUAACUACGUG
rnacentral:rRNA from 1 species